rnacentral:rRNA from 1 species
AUUGAACGCUGGCGGCAUGCUUUAUACAUGCAAGUCGAACGGCAGCGCGGGCUUCGGCCUGGCGGCGAGUGGCGAACGGGUGAGUAAUGCAUCGGAACGUGCCCAGUAGUGGGGGAUAGCCCGGCGAAAGCCGGAUUAAUACCGCAUACGACCUGCGGGUGAAAGCGGGGGACCGAAAGGCCUCGCGCUAUUGGAGCGGCCGAUGUCGGAUUAGCUAGUUGGUGGGGUAAAGGCUUACCAAGGCGACGAUCCGUAGCUGGUCUGAGAGGACGACCAGCCACACUGGGACUGAGCCACGGCCCAGACUCCUACGGGAGGCAGCAGUGGGGAAUUUUGGACAAUGGGGGCAACCCUGAUCCAGCCAUGCCGCGUGCGGGAAGAAGGCCUUCGGGUUGUAAACCGCUUCUGUUCGGGAAGAAAUCCUCUGGGCUAAUACCCCGGGGGGAUGACGGUACCGGAAGAAUAAGCACCGGCUAACUCCGUG